CAGGUUGUGCAAAUGUUCAGCCAGUGAUAACGGACCAAAGUCCAGCUUGCUCUAACAAGAUGACCAGAUCAGUAUGUCAGAUACAAGGAGAAUUGUGUGGAGGCACAGCAGGAGACGAAGGAGGGGGAUAAUGAUGCUUCCUCGCUUCUCUCCCAUCCACCCACUACCUGAUGAAAUAAAAGAGAUGGAUCACGACAUCUGUAGGCAAGGAGGCGGAGGUGGACGACGGCGAGGAGCAAGAGGACUAGACAAAUCAGGGAUGUGGACAAAGAGGGAUGUGGAAAGAUGAUGUAUGGACGACACGCAACAAAAAAAUUUCAAUAAAAUCGUAAGUUUUGUUUGCAGAGUCGUACAACUCUUCCAGACAUUUGUAGACACAGACGCACACAGACAAGUAAGUGAGUUACAAAGGCAUCAUGUAAAUUAAUUAUGUUUUUUUAUAUCCUCCAAGAUACCAACCACCCACGGAAUGCACCCUUUCCGUGUCCCCUCAUCUCAACCCGGACCCCCUUUUGCACCACUCUAACCCCCCCUUCUACAGUAAAUGUCUCACAUCAGGCGAGCAGUAAUAUGCAUGUUUAAUUGAUGGAGUGCAGAGACAUUGUGGCGAUAACAUGGAUUCUGGAGCGGGUCCAAAUGUGUGCACACAUACACACACAAUGAAUGGUUGUUUGUAUACAUGUGCCAUGUGAUGAUUAGAGACCAGUUACCAGGUCUAGGAUAGGAUAAGCUUUCGCUUCCCAGAACAGGAUAAAUGGUAGAUAAAGGGUGGAUGGACAUUUUAGCAUGCUUUCUGCAUCAUUAUAUGAUAGGUCUAUGAGGUCAAUGGAAGGUCAAAGUUCAGCUAGGAUGUUUUUUCCGCUGUUUUUUCCACAAAGAUCAUUUGUAAAGCAUGAUUCGAUAAAUACAACCUCUUCUCGUCACUCACUUUAGUAUUAUACCGGCCUUCAGUUACAUGGAUGUUUAUCCCUUCAGCAGUCUUUGAUCAAAAGGCCUAUCUUUCUUGAAUAUUGUUCACAAAUCUGUUUAAAUCCGUGUUAGUGAGCAUUCGGCAUUCAUGAUUCAUAAUCUAUCCACAUCACACGUGUGGCAUAUCAAGAUGUCGAAUUAGACAGCGUGAUUAUUGCACAAGUGUGCCUUAGGCUGGACACAAUUGUCAAGUUCUUUUAGUCUUAAGACCGCCUGCACUUGAAACGGCUGAGAAGAUUGUAAAGAACGCUUUAUCAACUCAACUUGAAUUUUUUAAUUAGGACCUUCAAGUUUAGCAUCUUUACUUACCCAAAUCGUCCAAGAUCAUCCACCUAGACAGGUACUUUUAAGUAAGCAAAGAACUUCUGCAAAAAAUAUCAGAGACAAAUCUCAGUGAUCUCGACCUUACCAUAAUCAACUUUGUAGAGGUGUUCUCUUCAUGGAGGAAUCACGUACUAUAUGGCGUCACCUUAUAUUGCAGCAUGAUAAUUCCCUGGGUCUGCAUAUA